CCGAGUUAUACAACUCAUCAACCCUGUGAACAUACCUAUAACGUUGCCUCGGCGGGAACAGACGGCCCCGUAACACGGGCCGCCCCCGCCAGAGGACCCCCUAACUCUGUUUCUAUAAUGUACUUCUGAGUAAAACCAGAAAUAAAUCA
rnacentral:misc_RNA from 1 species